rnacentral:sRNA from 1 species
UCCAUUGUUGACAUUGCCCCAGGGUUGGCUUUUUGGAGAAAGCACUAUCAUUGUAUAAAUUAAAGGGAUGGUAAAUUCAGGUAAUCGUGUUUGAUGUUAAUAGUUCAGUUUACAGGAGAGUGACUGUUUUAAGUUUAAAAGAAAAAAGAGGUUAGUGCAGGUUAUAAAGUGCUCUUUCUUGUCCCUAAAAAGAAGUAGUUAUAUUUUGAAAAAAUAACUAUAAUUUUUUUUUUCAGAGUAUGAUUUCAUCCAUUGUAAAUAGCACAUAUUAUGCCAAUGUGUCAGCAACCAAGUGCCAGGAGUUUGGGAGAUGGUAUAAAAAGUACAAGAAGAUUAAAGUGGAAAGAGUGGAACGAGAAAACCUUUCAGACUAUUGUGUUCUGGGCCAGCGUCCAAUGCAUUUACCAAAUAUGAACCAGCUGGCAUCCCUGGGGAAAACCAACGAACAGUCUCCUCACAGCCAAAUUCACCACAGUACUCCAAUCCGAAACCAAGUGCCCGCAUUACAGCCCAUCAUGAGCCCUGGUCUUCUUUCUCCCCAGCUUAGUCCACAACUUGUAAGGCAACAAAUAGCCAUGGCCCAUCUGAUAAACCAACAGAUUGCCGUUAGCCGGCUCCUGGCUCACCAGCAUCCUCAAGCCAUCAACCAGCAGUUCCUGAACCAUCCACCCAUCCCCAGAGCAGUUAAGCCAGAGCCAACCAACUCUUCCGUGGAAGUCUCUCCAGAUAUCUACCAGCAAGUCAGAGAUGAGCUGAAGAGGGCCAGUGUGUCCCAAGCUGUCUUUGCAAGAGUGGCAUUCAACCGCACACAGGUACAAUUAGCAUUAAACACUGUAAUUAACAGUAAUACUGGGGACAGAAUUGAGAUAGGUUAUAAUUAUUUUUAUCUCUUUAAAAAGCUUUAUGGAUCUCAGGACAUAGAAUUAGAUUAAUUAAUAAUCCUUAGUUAAUGAAACACUAUUACCAUUGAUCCAUGCAUGACCAUGAUUAAUUAACUAAUUGAUUAAUUUUGAUGAGGUAAUGGACAUCUUUGAACCCAACAUGCAACUCCGGACCCCAAAUGUUACUAAUGACUUGGGUAUGUACUCUCUCAUCCUCUCCAUUUACUGUUUCCAGAUGUAACCCUGAUCUUGAAUUUUGUGAUUAUCAGUCUCUAGCCAUUUUUUUAAACAAAUUAUAAAACUAUGCAUGCCCAGACAAUCUAUUUUUUUCCCUUGGUUUUGAACGUUAUAAAAGAAAUAAAAUUAUGUUUUAUAAUUUUAUAAGUAAAGUUUUAUUUAAAAAUUUAUAAAAAUCCUUCAAAACAUAAAAGUUAGAUUUAAGAUAUUGAUAAAAUGAUAAUGGAUAGUUUACUUUUAUUUUUAAUGUUUGAGAGAAUUAUAUGCCAAUUAUAACACUAAAUGUUGAAAAUGUAAACAGUUAAUUCACACGUCUUAUUUUUAUUGAGGGUGCUUAUAUGUAAGACAUUCUUUUCUGCUAGUAGUUCUUAAACUGGAGUGUGCAUCAGAAUCACCUGGAGGGCUGUGAAACACAGACUGCUGGGCCUCAUCCCAUAGUUUCUGAUUGAGUAAUUCUGAGGUUGGACUCAGAAAUGGACAUUUCUAACAAGAUCCCAGGUGAUUAUGAUGGUACUGAUCCGGGGCCGCAUGUUGAGAAAAACUUACCUAGCCCUUAUAUGAGUAAGAACAAAGCAGAUGUGCAUAAUCUCAGGGAGCUAACGAUCUAGUGGUGAAAACCAGGUAACCAGAUAAUUAGAGUAAAAUGUGAAGUGUUAUGAGUAAUGUUGGAGAGUGUAAGCAAUAGUUGUGGUGGAGGUUCAUGGUGAGCUGGAGGUGAAGAAUACUUCCAGGAGAAUGAAUAUGGUAAGCCUUCAAGAAAACAGUAGGUUAAAAUUUCAGCACCCUCGUAAAUGCAAGGCAGGAAGCUAAGCUCUAUGUGGAUGCAAAGAGGAAAAAGAUAAUGGGCAAGCACAUAUGUAAACAACACUCUAGAGUAUUAGGUUGUCAAUGGGUUAGACCUUGAAGGAUUAAUAAAGUACAGCAGACAAAGAUGAUGAAGAAGAAGAUUAUUAUUUUAAGGUAAAGACAUUCAUAGGAAAAAUGUUGAGUUAAAAAAUGCAGGAAUAAUUUGAAGACAUAAAACAACUGAUUUCUGAGAAAAACCCUGUGAACGUACAGAAUGUAGGAAUGCUUUCAUUUAUCUGAUACCUGUUCAGAGACACAUGAUAACACACGCUGUAGAUGGACCUUACAAAUAAAAGAAAGCAUGCUGGAUUGAAACCUCAAUAAUUUGGAAAAUACAGGAAUGUUUCCAAAUUUAAUGAUUACUUCAAAAGUUAAGGGGCUGGGCACAGUGGCUCAUGUCUUUAGUCCUAGCACUUUGGGAGGCCAAGGUGGGCGGAUCACUUGAGGUCAGGAGUUCAAGACCAGCCUGGGCAAGAUGGUAAAACACCAUCUCUACUAAAACAGAACAAAACAAAAAAAUUAGCUGGGCGUGGUGAUGCGUGCCUGUAGUCUCAGCUACUCAGGAGGCUGAGGCAGAAGAAUCCCUUGAACCCAGGAGGCGGAGGCUGCAGUGAGCCGAGAUCAUGCCACUGCACUGCAGCCUGAGUGACAGACUGAAACUCCAUCUCAAAAAAAAAAAAA